UACGAAGGGGGCUAGCGUUGCUCGGAAUCACUGGGCGUAAAGGGUGCGUAGGCGGGUCUUUAAGUCAGGGGUGAAAUCCUUGAGCUCAACUCCAGAACUGCCUUUGAUACUGAAGAUCUUGAGUUCGGGAGAGGUGAGUGGAACUGCGAGUGUAGAGGUGAAAUUCGUAGAUAUUCGCAAGAACACCAGUUGCGAAGGCGGCUCACUGGCCCGAUACUGACGCUGAGGCACGAAAGCGUGGGGAGCAAACAGG
rnacentral:rRNA from 1 species